CUCACCCUCCAGCCUGAGGAUGUCGUCCACGGAGAAGGGAGUGGAGGUGACCCGGCUCAGCAGCAUCUCGGAGGCCUAGGGGGCGGAGCUGCCAAGUUCUCUACUACUACCAGCGCGUCUUGAGCAAGCGUGGAUACAUGGGAAGUUUUGCCCCGCCUUAGAUCUCCGGAACGCUCCUUGGACACGGCUUGGGCGGAGUAUACAGUGUGUCUCCGUGGUGUUCGAGGCCAGCAAACCCACCCAGUUGAAGUCUGCAGUACAGUGGGUUGUCUGUGCAGCUGUCCAACCAAGCCUGGGACUCAUCAUUCCUGAGGGAGAGUCCAUCGUCAUCAGAAGCUUGACCACUCUGCCUCCCACCCAACUGCAAGCCGCGGGUCAUCCAUCACUUGUCUAUUUUAACCUCCAAAGAUUUAGUAUUUAAAAAAAUUGGUCUGAAUAGUGGCUUCCUGGAUGCACAUGUGGAGGCAUCGUUUCAAGUGUUAGUUCCACCGGGAAGAAACCCCAGGGUACCAAGAAGCUGCUGACUGGGUUCAUGGCAUCAUGCCAGUCUUGCUUUGAGUGGCACAGAUUUGUUCUCAUAAGAGGCUGGCUAAGCAGGGUGGCACCUUGGUCACCCCCCCACACCCCCCAUCUUCUAAAGAAGACAGAGAAAAAAGACAAAUGCGGCCAAACCCCGGGUCAGGCUCUGCUGACUGUGCUGGUGUAUAUGACAUUCUGUCCUUGGUCUGUGCACUGUCACAGAAACUCCAGCUGGGCUGUGUCACCCUGAACUCCCAUGGAGAGAACAGACCACGAGCGAGCUGCUGCUGUGUGUGAAUGCUAACUCUAUUCCACAAACUGCCUUCCGCACAUGUUCUCUGCUGGGAUUCCCACACCUGCUGCCUCCUGGGGGUGGAGGAGAAGGCUGGACAAACAGAGCGGAGUCUACACAAAGCUGGUGGAUGGAAGAAGUCCUUGCCACAGUGGAAGACUGGGGGGUUGGGCUGCUCCCGUGCCUGGCCGCCUCGGUCACUGCUUCAUGGUAAGAUUGAGAAUGGACUUUCGGUACCUCUUGUUCACCUAACUCCAUGGUUACGAUACACCUUCCUCUGGAGUGGGCCCCCGCUGUCCUCAAACUCGACGCCGCUGUUCUGGGCGCUCAAUCUCACAUUCUUGAAUCUCCCCACCUUUGCUCUGUGUUGGGCCGGUGGCUGUGAGGGGUGCUCUCCUGCCUUUCCCAGUGGUGCUGUAGGGGGUGGUGGGGCGGCACCUGUGGUGUGGGCGAGCAGUUGGGGGGUUAGGGGCCAGGUUCCUCGUGAUGCUGGCUCAGAGCUGUCCAUCACUGGUGUGCUGCUCUCUGAGGGACUGAGCAUCUGCCGGCCACUCUGACGUCUGUCUUUUCAGCCAGAGUCUGAGGGGGCAGGAAAGGAAGCGGGUCAUGUGAUAUAGGCAAACUCCCUGCGUAAGUACAGGAAUGGGGGCUGGUGAUGUGGAGACGUGAGCAAGGACACAGAGAAGACCCCCCCUCCCCCGGCACCUCCCUGCGGCUGUUGUUCCCCCCCCCUUCCACUCCUGUACCGGCACCUCACAAAAGGGAAGUAGCGUCAUCACAUAUGUGCACGCCUGCCCUUCGUGUGUUGCCUCUGGGUCACCAUUUCCUGUUUCUGAGUCAUCAGGAAGGUGAUUUCCCCCUGAUGUUCAAUAUCCCCCCAGGAUCCUGUCAUCACUCAGAAUCUCCCCUGCUGCCUUCUUCUCUCCUUUCCCUAAGAACAACAAGAGACCCUGUCUUAAAAAUAAAACCACUAAACUAAACAGUACACAGCUGUCGGGCUGCUGAGAGCACACUAAUGCCUGCCCGUCACAGCUCUCAGCCCUCUCCGGAGGUGGCUGAGGGCCGUGACCCAUGGGAUAUUUGAAUUCAAAUGGAGAUGAAUCUGAAAUACCUCUGUGUGCAGCAGGGUCUGUCCUAGACCCCACUUGAGAAGUGACAUGGGAGGACUCUGGCUGCCCCCCAAGAUAAAGAAUGAGUCAGACUUUCAGAACAAGACGCCCCAGGAGGCAAGGGAUGGCACUGGGAGGGGUGUGUCACCUCCGCUGAAGCAGAACCCCAGGGUUCUGUAGGCCUCCCUGCCUGUUCUUUCUGCCCCAUCCUCUGCUUCUGUCAUCCCUCUCCCUCCCUCCCUUCCU